rnacentral:rRNA from 1 species
GUCAAGUUGCGGAAAGAAAAAGGGGAUUGGAUGACCUCCUACUGCUGUUGCCGUGGAACCGGGGGCCGUCGUCGUCGAGUUGCACCGCCGAGGGCCACGUCGAAGAGCCGGGCCGCGCCACCGAGGGCGACGUCGAGCCGCGGGGCGCCGCCGCCGAGGGUGACGUCGAGGAGCCGGGCCGCGCCACUGACGGCGACGUCCAGCUGCCGGGCGCCGCAGAGCGAGGCCGACGUCCAGUCGCCGGGCGACGCCGCUAAGGGCGACGUACAGCCGUCGAGCCGCUGAAGUCGACGUCGAGCCGCCUGGCCGUCCAGGGCCUCGUGGCCGACGUUGAGCCUCGACGCCUAUCGCGGGAGCAACGACCAAGUAAUUGCCGCCUCUUCACAACACGAUCGACGUUAUUGGUACCCUUUACCCUAGGAUCCAAUUAGUUUCGGUCCUAGGUACAUGUCCGCGUGUGUACAUGUGGUACUUCGCUCAAGUUAUCCUAAUCUACAUGCACUGACUACUACAACACUUUACGCACCAGACGAACACAACAUGACCCUUCACCCUAGAUCCUAGUACUAGGAGUUCCACAAUCACGAGCGGCGUUGUCGGUACCCUCUCCUCCCACACCCAACUAGUCUAUGAUUGGUUAGAUGUCGUAGAGCACUACUAGGUACCUACGUCUUCAGCAAACGGGCUGGCCAUCAAACUCCUUAGUGGAACGGCGGCCGGACACACUCGGGAGGGACAGGCCCUCCGCGACCUCAACUACCGAACCACCGGCCGCCACGUAAGCGGAGAGACGACCCGCGCCUG